GCGAAGCGGCAGCGGAGGCGGCGGGCCGACGCCGGUCAAGCCCGCGCUGCUUCCUCCAGAAGAGUCGUCCCCACAGCUCCGGAAGUGCUUGGCGCCGUUGCGUCACUUCCGGAUCGGGGUCGACCCACGGUCGCUCGGGUCGCGACAGGCUCCCGGCUAGAGGGCCUGUUUAGCGCCGCCUCCUUGAAACUUAGCGCUCUGACCCAGAGUCUGACCAGGGUACGGCAGGCGCCGACCGCGUCUGGAGCCACUAUUCGCCUACCAGCGUCUCCCGUCGAGAUGUUUUUAACCAGCGCGUUUCUCACCGGCUUCUCAUUUCACUGUUUGUACUCCGGGAUCGGGCACGGAGAAGACAUCCUGGCGUCAGUGGAGCAGAUAACCAUUGUUUCUCGGCCGCUAUCUGGUCAGAGGGGAGCUGGGCCGGGAAAUUCUGCCUACACCCCGAGGCGGUCGCAGGGUGGCCCCAGAGCCGCAACCACACCAGGCUUUCGCUUCCCCUGCCGAGGCCUCGUUCGCCGCGCAGUUCUCCGACUUACGGUCACCGUGCAAGAUUGCAUCUUAACUGCCUUGCUUGCAGUUUCUUUUCACAGUAUAGGAGUUGUCAUCAUGACUUCCAGUUACCUUCUGGGACCGGUUGUCAAAUGAUGUGGCUAGAGACGGAGGCUCACUCAGAUUGUUGCUGCACCACAAUGGAAAUGCCAGUAUGAAGCCGCUGAUGUUAGGAAGGCUCCAGGUUGUGCAAUUCCAUAGACAACAAAUCAAAUCAUUUCCAACCAUACUGGAGUCGCGUAUAUACAUAUUCAAGACACCUGUGCAGGCCGGGCGCGGUGGCUCAAGCCUGUAAUCCCAGCACUUUGGGAGGCCGAGGCGAGUGGAUCACGAGCCAGGAUGGUAAUUUUUGUAUUUUUAGUAGAGACAAGGUUUCAUCAUGUUGGCCAGGAUGGUCUGGAUCUCUUGACUCCUUGAUCCGCCCACCUCGGCCUCCCAAAGUUCUGGGAUUACAGGCGUGAGCCACUGCUCCUGGUCUCCUUUGUUUCUUUACUUCUCUAAUAAACUUGCUUUCACUUUACCAAAAAAAAUGAAAUAAAUCAUACUGGGUGGCAGGGCAUGGUGGCUCAAGCCUGUAAUCCCAGCACUUUGGGAAGCCAAGGUGAGAGGAUUGCUUGAGCCCAGGAGUUGGAGACCAGCCUGGGCAACAUAGUGAGAUUCCAUGUCUAC
rnacentral:lncRNA from 1 species